CCUACGGGUGGCAGCAGUCGAGAAUCAUUCACAAUGGGCGAAACCCUGAUGGUGCGACGCCGCGUGGGGGAAUGAAGCUCUUCGGUUUUUAAACCCUUGUCAUGUGGGAGCAAAUUAGAAAGAUAGUACCACAAGAGCAAGAGACGACUAACUCUGUGCCAGCAGCCGCGGUAAUACAGAGGUCUCAAGCGUUGUUCGGAAUCACUGGUCGUAAGGGGUGCGUAGGCUGUUUCGUAAGUCGUGUGUGAAAGGCGCGGGCUCAACCCGCGGACGGCACAUGAUACUGCGAGACUAGAGUAAUGGAGGGGGAACCGGAAUUCUUGGUGUAGCAGUGAAAUGCGUAGAUAUCGGGAGGAACACUCGUGGCGAAGGCGGGUUCCUGGACAGUAACUGACGCUGAGGCACGAAGGCGAGGGGAGCGAAAGGGAUUAGAUACCCGAGUAGUC
rnacentral:rRNA from 1 species